GACGAACGCUGGCGGCGUGCUUAACACAUGCAAGUCGAACGAUAAAGCCCAGCUUUCUUGGUGGGUUAGUGUCGCACGGGUGAGUAACACGUGAGCAACAUGCCCGAUACUCUUGAAUAACUCCCCAGAACGGUGGCGAAUACUCCGGAUAUGCCAGCGUGCCAUCUCCUCUGGGUUGGAAAGUUUUUCCGGUUCGGGAUGGCCUCACGGCUUAUCAGCUUGUUGGUGGGGUAUUGGCUUACCAAGGCGCUGACGGGUAGCCGGCCUGAGAGGGUGACCGGCCACACUGGGACUGAGAUACGGCCCAGACUCCUACGGGAGGCAGCAGUGGGGAAUAUUGCACAAUGGGCGGAAGCCUGAUGCAGCAACGCCGCGUGAGGGAUGACGGCCUUCGGGUUGUAAACCUCUUUUAGCAGGGAAGAAGCGCAAGUGACGGUAACUGGAGAAAAAGCACCGGCUAACUACGUG
rnacentral:rRNA from 1 species